rnacentral:rRNA from 1 species
UACGUAGGGUCCGAGCGUUGUCCGGAGUUACUGGGCGUAAAGCGCGCGCAGGCGGCGGUAUAAGCAUGGCGUGAAAGCCCCAGGCUCAACCUGGGAGGGUCGUCGUGGACUGUACCGCUUGAGGGCGGUAGGGGCUGGUGGAAUGCCUGGUGUAGUGGUGAAAUGCGUAGAGAUCAGGCGGAACACCCGUGGCGAAGGCGGCCAGCUGGGCCGUCACUGACGCUGAGGCGCGAAGGCGUGGGGAGCGAACGGG